GACGAACGCUGGCGGCGCGCCUAACACAUGCAAGUCGAACGAGCGAGAGAGAGCUUGCUUUCUCGAGCGAGUGGCGAACGGGUGAGUAACGCGUGAGGAACCUGCCUCAAAGAGGGGGACAACAGUUGGAAACGACUGCUAAUACCGCAUAAGCCCACGGCUCGGCAUCGAGCAGAGGGAAAAGGAGCAAUCCGCUUUGAGAUGGCCUCGCGUCCGAUUAGCUAGUUGGUGAGGUAACGGCCCACCAAGGCGACGAUCGGUAGCCGGACUGAGAGGUUGAACGGCCACAUUGGGACUGAGACACGGCCCAGACUCCUACGGGAGGCAGCAGUGGGGAAUAUUGCACAAUGGGGGAAACCCUGAUGCAGCGACGCCGCGUGGAGGAAGAAGGUCUUCGGAUUGUAAACUCCUGUUGUUGGGGAAGAUAAUGACGGUACCCAACAAGGAAGUGACGGC
rnacentral:rRNA from 1 species